GGGGGGGGGUCUGUGUGGUGUUGGGGGGGGGGGGGGGAUUUUUAGGGUGCGGGAGCUCCACGCUGGGCCUUGGGCCGCGGGUUGCGUGGCCUGGUGUCACCCCGGCGCGGGGGGGCGGCCGCCAGUGGGAGUUAUUGCCAAUAAUAACAAUAAUAAUAAUAAUAAUUAACGACAACAGGGCUCGGUGCCGGGGGGGGGGGGGCAGCGGGCACAGCCGGAGCCCCGGCUUUCCAGGGGGAAGGCGGCCGCUGGUGCUCGUGUAAGGGGCUGUGGGAACAGCGUUUUCUUCUCCUGAAUGUGAAUCUGAAUUUAAAUUUUUUUUUUUUUUUAAAGAGUUGCUGUUGAUCCAUGAAAGACGCGCCCGAAAGUUUUCGAGGCGUCAGAAAUGAGGUGCCAUGAGUAACCUCGUGGAGACGAGGAGUAUCCUGACAGUUGUUGCAAGUCUCAUGCCGUGAAGAGCGUACACACAGAGGAUUCAAAUCCACCCGUGGUACCCUGAGUGACGAGGACUUCAGCAUUCUACGCUGAUGCGGAUGAGGUGCGAGUCCUCGCUGUGAAUGAGUAAAAUCUCUACCAAAGAAACAAUCUAAGAAACAAUACCAAGAAGAAACCACAAAUUCAGUGAAAGCUACUAGAGAAGAGCUAUUGCUAUUAGUUUUACAUCAAGAGCUCUGACCAACAGCCUUAACACUAUUGUACAUAAGCAGUCUGAAACGGGUAAGAAGCAAAACGCCAAUGGUCUGGUUUUUUAGAUUAACAGACCAUGUACACAAGCAUCGCCUAGGUAAGAGAAGCUUUUCUAUAAAAAUAUAGAAAACCAUAAUGUCCAUGUUCCAACACUGAAGUAUUUCCACCCCUAACUGGAUUUCUGCUGUUGAAA